rnacentral:lncRNA from 1 species
AAUAAAAAAAAACUAAAUUAAAAAUCUAUCUGAAAAAUGUAUAGUAAAAUAAAUAGUAACUAAAUACACAAUAUAAAAAAUAGAAAUAUUAUAUUAUACAAUUAUCGUAAUAUUAGAAUAAAUAAAUAUAAAAUAUAGGAAAAACUAAAUAUUAAGUAAAUAUAGUAUAUAAUAAAUAAAAAUAUUACAUUAAAUAUAUAUCGUAAUAUUAUUAUUGAUAUAAAAUCAAAAAAUUUAGAAUAAAUAAAUAUACAAAAUAAGAAAGAUAAACAGUAAGUAAAUAUACAAUAUUAAAAUUGGAAAAACUAAAUUAAGCAUAUAUCUGAAAAAUGUAUAGUUCAAUAAAUAAUAAGUAAAUAUACAACAUAAAAAUAUUAGAUUAAACAUCUAUUAUAAUAUUAAAAUAACUAAAUAUAAAAUAUACGAACUAUACUAAUAAAAGGGAGCUUUUAAGGCAGCGUCCACAUCAGCGAAAAAAACUUCUUCUAAAAGAUGACACGUGACAUUAAUAAAAAAAACAAAAGUAUACAUAUAAAGAAAAAGAAAUAAUAAUAAAUAUACAAUAUAAGAAAUAGAAAUAUUACAUUAAACAUCUAUCAUAAUUUAUCAUUUGAUAUAAAGCAAGAAAAGUAGAAUAAGUAAAUAUACAAUUAAGAAAUGACUACAUGGUUAACAUUUGAAAAUAAAAAUAGUCCCGCGCAUAGUACGGAUUAACUCCUAGUCUAUAGUAAUAAAAGGGACCUUUUGUGGCUCCGCAGAGCGUCCACAUCAGCGAAAAAAACUUCUCCCGAAAGAUGACACGUGGCAUAAAAUAUAGUUUUACAUUUUAAUAUUACUAAUUUUCGAAAAUUAUAAAUAAUAUGUAAACAUACAACAUAAAAAAAUAGAAAAACUACAUUAAACAUACGUAAAAUUACCAUUUUUCACUUAAAAAAAAGACGGCUUAUCUCUAUAAUGUAACAUUACCGUUUUAUAAAAAAAAAACAAAAAACAUUAUAUAUAAGUUCGAAAAUAAUAAAUAUAUGUAAACAUACAACAUAAAAAUAAAAAUACUACAUUAAACAUAUGUAAGAUUACCAUUUUACAUUUUUAAUUUUAAAAAAUAAUAUGUAAACAUACAACAUAAAAAAUGGAAAAACUACAUUAAACAUAUGUAAGAUUACUAUUUUUCACUAAAAAAAAGACGGUUUAUCUCCAUAAUGUAACAUUACUAUUUUGUAAAAAAAAAAAAAAAAACUUCCCCCGAAAGAUGACACGUGGCAUAAAAUAUAGUUUUACAUUUUAAUAUUACUAAUUUUCGAAAAUUAUAAAUAAUAUGUAAAUAUACAACAUAUAAAAUGAAAAAACUACAUUAAAUAUAUGUAAGAUUACCAUUUUUCACUUAAAAAAAAGACGGUUUAUCUCCAUAAUGUAACAUUACCGUUUUAUAAAAAAAAACAUUAUAUAUAAUUUUGAAAAUAAUAAAUAUAUGUAAACAUACAACAUAAAAAAUAGAAAUACUACAUUAAACAUAUGUAAGAUUACCAUUUUACAUUUUUAAUUUUAAAAAAUAAUAUGUAAACAUACAACAUAAAAAAUAGAAAAACUACAAUAAACAUAUGAAAUUCAGAUUAAACAGCUGAGGCGAGAGUUAGCUCAAUUGCUCGAAGCUGGGAACAGCUUUACCAAUGGUGAAUUCACGCCUGAAGAUCCUCAAGAACAAAAAGGAGAUUCAGAUUAAACAGCUGAGGCAAGAGUUAGCUCAAUUGCUCGAAGCUUGGAACACCCCUAAGAUAGAAUUCGGGUAAGAACAACUUGAAUCUUUGUUUCAAUCAUGUUGUGUAUUGAUCACAUUGUGAAUGUAUCCACACUACUUUUGGUUUCACUCAUGUUGUUUGUUGAUGAGAUUGUGAAUGUGGUUUUGUUAUGUUUCUCUUUCUAUCUCUCAGGUGGAAGAGAAGACAGUGGCUGCCUAUGAACUCAUUGGCAUCUACUGCGAACUCAUUGUUGUUCUUUAGGUGUUAUCGGGUCUCAAAAGUAAGCACAAGUUAGCUUCUUUUUGGUGAACAUUAUUAUAAAGUCUUUGUUUUUUGUUGUGUGUAUAAUGUGCUGAUCCUUGUGAUCAAUACUUACAGAAACUGCCCCAUUGAUCUGAAAUAAGCGGUUGCGAGCGUAUUAUUCACUUCCCAGAGGUUAUCAGAUGUCCCUGAGCUCUCAGAAAUCGUUAAGCAAUUCACGACCAAGUACGGGAAGGAUUUUGCUACGUCUGCUAUUGAGCUUCGUCCAGAUUCUGGUGUGAGCCGCCUGGUAAGUGGUUGCAUCCUAUUCCUGGUGUUGAUUUUGUCCUAAGAACUGUUCUUGAUUAUGAUCUUGUUUAUGUUUCUAUAUGUGUGAAUUCCUUUUGAUAUACUCACUCUAUCUUUUGUUAAUGUGAAUCUGUCUGUGGUUCUCACUCUUGAAAGCUCAUAUGUUUUAUUUUGGUUCCACUUACUGUGCUUGAUCUUACUAGGUAUGUGGAUAUGAUUUCAAAUCCUGAAGUGGCUUAUGUGCUCCGCAAAAGACAGGCACCGGAGGUUAUGAACGAGAUGAGUGAGGUAUGAAAUCCAAAAGUUAAACAUAACUUAUCUGUCAGUCUUACUAACGAAUUAUUUAUAAUAUUGUAACUAAAAGUUAAACAUUUAUCAUAAUAUUACCAUUAGAUAUAAAAGUAAUAAAAUUAGAUUAAGCAAAUAUAAAAUAUAAGAAACAAUAAAUAAUAAAUCCCUUUAUAAAAAACAAUAAAUAAUAAGUAAAUAUACAAUAUAAAAAAUGGAAAAAUUACAUUAAACAUCUAUCUAAAAAAUGUAUAAUUUUACAAUUUUACUAUUUCCAAAUAUUCUAAGUAAAUUUAUAAUAUAAAAAUCAAUAAUAAGUAAAUAUACAAUAUAAGAAAUAGAAAUAUUACAUUAAACAUUUAUCGUAAUAUUAUCAUUUAAUAUAAAAGCAAACAAAUUAGAAUAACUAAAUAUAGAAUAUAAGAAAAAUAAACAAUAAGUAAAUAUACAAUAUAAGAAAUAGAAAUAUUACAUUAAACAUUUAUCGUAAUAUUAUCAUUUAAUAUAAAAGCAAACAAAUUAGAAUAACUAAAUAUAGAAUAUAAGAAAAAUAAACAAUAAGUAAAUAUACAAUAUAAAAAUAUAAAUAUUACAUUAAACAUCAAUCGUAAUAUUAGAAUAAGUAAAUAUGCAAUAUAAAAAAAACAAAUAAUAAGUAAAUAUGCAGUAGAAGAAAUACAAAUAUUACGUUCAAAAUUUAUCUCAAUAUUGUUAUUUAAUAUAAACGUAAAAAUAUUAGAAUUAAUAAAUAUACAAUAUAAUAAAAAAAUAAAAAAUAAUUAAAUGUACAAUAUAAGAAAAAGAAUAUUACAUUAAAUAUCUAGCGUAAUAUUAGUAUUCGUAAAUAUACAAUAUAGAAGAAAUAAAUAAUAAACAAAUAUAUAAUAUAAGAAGUAGAAAAAGUAUAUUAACUAUCUAUCUGAAAAAUGUUAAAUUAAAUAAAUAAUAAGAAAAUAAUACAUUAAAAAUAUAUUUUAGUAUUACCAUUUGAUAUAAAACAAUAAGAAUAGUUAGAUAAUUAACAUUUAAAAAUUAAUAUAGUUCUGUGCGUAGCGCGGAUAAAUCCCUAGUCUAUAAUAUAAUAGGAGAGUUGAGUCUUUCCUAAAGCGACACGUCAGUAUUUUGCAUGUGGUUCGAAUCCGGGCUAUUGAGAUAUAAACACCAACACUUAUACCACUAAACUAAAGGAUAUUUUGUACAUCGAUGGCCGAAACUAAUAUAUAUUUAUGAAGGUCAGAAACCUUUGAUUCUUCAGUUUUCUUUGUGAGCCGGACCUACAAGUGUAUUAUGAGUUUCAUUUUUAAACGAGGUUCAUCACGUUAUAUGAAAAAAACAACAAUUAUAGUUUUUCCAUAUUGUAAACUGUCUUCGUUUAACAUGAGUUAGGGUUCUUUUCAUCAUUGUCUUAGACAAGUCUGAGUUACAGAGUUGCGCUGUGUGUCUGUUCGUAAUCUAUUUUUUCACCGGUGAACUCUUCAUCUCCCCAUCUUAAAUCGCUUGAUCUUAAAUGUUCCUGAUUUGUAGCCUUUCUGUAAACCCUAUAUAUAUGAUUCUCAUCUUUGAUGAACUCAAUCUGCAUCUCCACAAAACUCAUUGAUUCCUUUUAGCUUUAACGAUCUUCUAGAAAAUGUCUCUCUGCCUCUCCAGUUCCUCAAACCGGUGUUCCCGGCAUCCGUCACUCAACCUUCGAGUCUCUCUGUGUUAGUAUUGUAGUAGUCAGAGCAUAGCCUCUAACUUCCUCGCUUAUGGGAUUCCCUGAACUUCAAGAAAGACAAUAAGUUUAUGGGAAUCACGGUUCUCUUCCUUGAUGAAAAAGUAAGUUGAUCUUCGAUUUAUCACACUUAUUUAAUAUAAUUGUUUUUAAUUGAUUUUCUGAUUCUUUGUUAAAUAAUAUUAUUUGCAGAUUCCGUGAUUCAUGGAUUUAUUCCCGCCAGACGUGCUAAUCAUUACAUGCCAUCUUUGAAAGUCGGUUCUAUUGUGAAAGUCGAUCGUUUUGAGGUUGCUAGGUGCUCAAGCAUGUACAAGAUAAUUGAUCAUCCAUUCCUCAUUCGUUUCAUCUCACCAACUAUUAUUGAAAGUCAUCACGGGUGCUCCUGAGAUCAAUCUCCAAUCAUAAUUAGACUGUUUGACAAUUUCCAAGUGCUUGCGAACACAAACCUAGAACUUUCAGGUAUAUUAUUAUAUUGCAUCUGGGUUUAUAAUAUGUUCUGUUAUCAUAACUGAUAUUUAAACUCGUAGAUGUGGUUGGGCAAAUCCGUUCUGUCCAAGGCUCUGACCUUAGCAAAGAAACAACUCGAGUCGUUAUCCGUCUCCUCAUUGAUCUGUAAGAAACAAUCAACACAUAAUUCUCUUUAUAUUAUUAUCUAUAUUGUGCUAACAUCAAUAAUCAAAAAUAUUUCCUACCCAAAUUUUGUGGUCGUCUAUUUAUUUCUCUUACUUAUCAAACUAAUUUUACACAAACCUUUAUUUUACAGCUUAAAAUAAAACACAACAACCCAAAUAAUCAAAACACCAAAAACUAGAAUUCCAAAAAAGACGAAUCAUUAAUGAUCACCUCUCUUUUUUUGUCUAAUCUUAGAAAUAAACUUCAAAACAAAUAUAUCAAACCAAUCACCUCAACUAAAACUCAACGACACAUAUAUCGAGUCAGCUAAACAAAUACAAACUACACGGCCAUCUAUUUAACAAUUUACAAAAUUACUUUCGCAACGAUACAUACAUCGAGUCAGCUAAACAAAUACAAACUACACGGCCAGCUAUUUAACAAUUAACAAACUUACUUUCGCAACGAAGAAGACGAAGACGACAACCAAGAUCAGUGAAAUUACCUAAACAAAAAAAAGCAAAGUAAGUUAUGAACUCUGAUAAAUACAACUAACAAUGAUUUUUGUUUAUAUAUUACCCAUCAAAUAAAAGAUAAACAAACACAGUCACAACAUGAGAUACAAGAGACAAUCCCGACAGACACAAAGGCGGCAACAACAGCUCCACCCGCCACUUCUCUUGUCUUAUAAAAAUAGCUUACAUGCCCAAUGUCAACAGGCUAAUGCUAUUGUCUUCUUAUGAGAAAUACAUAAAUUCGUUUAAAACUCAUUAAAGCCCAAAUACUCAGAACUGUCACUCAUUUUAUAGUUAUUUCUACAAGUCUUCAUGUAUUUUUUUUAAAGGUCCGGUAAGAGCAACACGUUUAAAAAUAAAAUAAAAACAUAUAACAAACAUAAUAAGGAUAAUAAAAAUUAUUACUUAAAACACACAACUUACACAACUAAACUGGAGAAAAAAUAUCCAGAAACAAAAGGUACUCUCAACAACUUUAAUAUAAUUUAUGUACUCUCAACAGUACAAGAAACAAAUUAAAAAGACAAACAAACAAUAAGUCUCAGUGACACAGCAAACAACAAUACGAACUAUAUCAAUCACAUUUCUAACACAGUUUAGUCUUUCAUAAGUGGAGAACAAUGCAUACACAGUUCAUCAUCACAACUCUAACCAUAUAACAAUAAAAAAACUUGAAAAACAACUCAAAACGCAAAAUUCACAACUACAAUAACCCUAGCAAAAUAUUGAGAUGAAACAAGAACUCUCUCCACAACCCCGUGCUUGCACAGAGGCAAUGCCCCUAGUAAUAAUAACUCGUCGGUGUACCAGUGUACUCUUUUUUUCUUAUUCUUCUUCUCAGUCAAGUGUAUUCUUUUUUAGUCAAAUUGUCUAAAAUUACGAAAAAGUAGUUACCCUAAAUUUUAGAUUUAUUUAUUAAAAAUCUUAAUUGGUAAAUCAAAUGAGUUUUUUUCUUACAAAAACAAAAAUUCAAAUAUUGAUUGGAUAGAAAGUAAUUUUUGGAGAAACAAAAACAAAAAGAUAUUUCACAAAACACAAACAAUUAUCAUCUAGUUUAUUUAUUUAUUUAUUAGUAUCAAUAUAUAUAUAUAUAUAUAUAUAUAUAAUCAAUCACAGAUGAAAUCAAUAUAUAUGUACAUCUAAUAAUUAAAAUUAUAUAUAUAUAUAUUGUACACACACCUUCCAAAACAAAAACAAUCGGCUAGUCCUUAGCACCCAACAUAGCUUGAUUGUGUACGGACCAACAUGUUACAUAGACACACACAUAAGACUAUAAUACACAACUUCAUAUUUGAUAAUCAUCUUCAUUACUCCCUAGGUAUAUAACCAUUAACUCUUACUUGAUACUAUUUGAUUAUAGGGUGGUUUUGUCUUUAGCUACAUUUUUAUUUAAUACUUACAACAGCUAUUAAUAUACAAUAAAAUAUGAAAAGUAAAUAAGAAAAAUUAUCUACAAGAAGAACAAUAUUCCCGAGAUAAGAUAAUUAUUACUAGUUUUUUUUUGAAGAAAAUAAUUAUUAUUACUAGUUGAUAAUGUAUUAUAUUUCUUCACUCACUCAUGUCGAUCUGGAGGUUGCUGUAACACCGUUAAACUUAAACAUCCAAUCCUCUGUUUAUGGCAUGUCUCAUGUAUUCUUUUGAUGUGAGAUAUAGUGGAAAGUCUAUAAAGUAAUAUACGAUAAAUUAAUAAACGUUAUAAACUAAUAAUUUUUUUUUGGCUUCGAAUUGGACCGGUUCAAAAUAUGACACAAAUCGAUAAAAUAAUAAGAUAAUAAUUUUUAAAAAUUUAUGUAAAUAUAUGGUCCCACUAAAAUCAUAAAUUAAUAAUCUAUUUAUAUAUAUUUUUUAUAUAAGUACAAGCUAAACAUUAUAUUGUUGGUUUUAUAUUCACAAUAAAUUAUCUAUAUUUUUUAAAAAAAUGUAAUAUAUUUUGGCAAUAUUUAGUAAGAUUAUAUCGAAAACCACAUUCGAAUUCUAUGAAACAUAAAAAUAUACACCAGAUAAUAUGGUAAAACAAUAUGAAAGUAUAAUUUCUAAAAUUUAAUUAAUGUAUAUACAGUAAAAUAAACUAUUUUCAUAUUUUAUAAAUAAAAAUAGAAAAAAUAAAAAUAUACUUUUUAUAAAUUAAUAAAUAACAUAGUCCCAACAUUAUUAAUUUAUAGAAUUUUUACUGUAUAUACAAUUUAUGUCCUAUACUUAAUACGUUGAGCGUAUGAACUGAUGAAUACAUAGUUGAUAGUUACAAAUACCCUAUAGCAGAAAACGAUUAGGUACAUUACAUAAGUACAUCAUAUUAGUAUAUAAUACGAAUAGUAUAAUACAAAUGGAUUAUAUAAUGCAUGUUAAGGGAAAGCUUUUGGUGGAGGAGAGGCGGCUUUUGGACGACGCAAAGAGCCGUUUUUCACUACUUAUCUUCGUGGAAUCUUCAAAAGCAUAUCUUCUUUUUCUUCACAUUUGGUUCAAUAAAAAUACUAACAAGGUAUGUCUACUGUGUUUUGUGGAUGAUGGCCUAGAACAAUGAAAUAUACCAAUAAUAUCUUUUCAUUUUGGGCAAAUCUCCAAAAUAACAUUUUUCUAAGUUUAUAUCACAAAAAUAGCAUUCCAAAACUAAAAUGACCAAAAUAACACCUUUUUAAGUUUAUCCUUUGAAAAUUUUAAUUUUUUUAUUUUUCAAAAUUUGAAAUUUUAUCCCCAAAACCUCAUUUCUCAACUCUAAACCCUAAACUCUAAACUCUAAACCCUAAACCCUAAACCCUAAACCCUAAACCCUAAACUCUAAACCCUAAACCCUAAACUCUAAACCCUAAACCCUAAACCCUAAAUCAUAAACCCCACCAUUUAACUCUAAACCCUAAACCCUAAAUCCUAAACCCCACCAUUUAACUCUAAACCCUAAGUUUGUGACUUUUGAUAAAACAUUAAGUGUUAUUUUUGUGACUUUUGACCUUGAAUACUAGUUUGGGAACAAAAACUUGAUU